GCCAUCACCGAAUUGGUACCCCAAACAAAUUGCCCACGGAAGAGCAGCACUUACCCAGCCGACCUCUGCAUCUACUAAAGCAUAUACCUGGCGAUGCGUGUCCACUGUCCUGUCUCCCUGGAUCUCUCUCAGCCGCUGGAGGGAAGGCAGGGUGGCUGGGCCCCCUCUGACAUGGUGUUGGGGAUUGGAGCUCAUUGUCCAGCCUUCCUGUGGACUA